rnacentral:lncRNA from 1 species
AAAAAAAAUAAAAUAAAACUUGAAGACUUAUUAAUGAUCAUCAAAUCUUCAGAUUUAAAAAAAAAUUUUGAUAUGUCAUUUACCUAUUAUUGGCCUGUGAUAUAUAGUAUAAUGUUGAGUUGAAUGUCCUCAUUGUUUUAGAUUGUGAAAAUACAAAAUAAAUGUCAUGCACAUUUUUCAGAAGUUCAAGACCUUCAGUAAAAUUUAGUUUGUUUGAGUAUAAGAGAAAUUGAGCACACCUUGAUGAGUUCUGUGAUAAUAUUUGACAUAGAAUCACAUUUUAUAUUUAAAUAAUCUGGGUUUAUUUAUUUAUUUAUUUUAGUAGUAGUGAAAAUGAAAAAUCUCUGGUCCACCUUGACUUGAUCUGAGCCUUUCUGGUCUUUGUUGUCUUCCAUUAGUAAAAUGUUGGUGUCCCCAUUGUCUGACUACAGUACUUUUCAAAAACUGUAGCAAUUAUUCUUUCUUUUCCUUAGUUCCAAAAUAAAAAUGCUUCAGAUCACGUAGAAAAAACAGUAAUGGAA